UCUCUCUCUCUCUCUCUCUCUCUCUCUCUCUCUCUCUCUCUCUCUCUCUCUCUCUCUCUCUCUCUCUCUCUCUCUCUCUCUCUCUCUCUCUCUCUUCCCUUUGUGAACUCUCAGAGGUGGAAGGAAACAAAAUAUCAAUAUAACGUAUGUUGUAUAUUUAUUUUAUUGAUACACUGAACAUUCUGGAAGAGAGUUACAGUGGUAUGUAUGUACAAGCAAUAGUCUCUCUCUCUCUCUCUCUCUCUCUCUCUCUCUCUCUCUCUCUCUCUCUCUCUCUCUCUCUCUCUCUCUCUCUCUCUCUCCAUAGAAGAAAAAUAACCGAAGAUUUUAUUUCACACGCUUCCAAUUUAUUUUUCCUGUUUUUGUUUUAGUUUACGCACGAGAACAACAAAGGUCCAAUUUCAAACCGUUAUCGUUCUUUUAUUUUUAUUUAAGUUCAUGGAGCUAAAAUUUCUUUCUUCUUACUUUGCUCAUGAGAAUAAUACCACUCCGAUAUUUCAAGCUGUUAUUAUUUUUCCUUUUAUGAGCUCAUGUUAAUGUUUAUUUCCUCACUUUCCUCAUGAGAGCACUAUAAAUCCAAUAUUUCAGUGUUUUUAUUUGCUCUCUUUCUUUAUAAGUCUAAGAUGCUUAAAUAUCUCUCUCUCUCUCUCUCUCUCUCUCUCUCUCUCUCUCUCUCUCUCUCUCUCUCUCUCUCUCUCUCUCUCUCUCUCUCUCUCUUCCCCAAAGGUAAAAACUUAGUUGUAUUUUUUUGUGGUUUCUGUCUCGCAAAAUUUAAACUUAUCAGAUGAGCGUAAAUUUCAAUUGAUCCCUAACCUUCCUUUUGUUCCUACUUUCCAUCUUGUUUUUUAAAUCGAGUUAUCAAAUGUAGCUUAUCACUCUCUUUUAUAGAUUUGGUACAUCUGUCAUCCUUCGACUUCUUUCAUUCCCGUCUCUUUACAAAUUUCUUCAUUUUUCAAACAUUCUGAAUUCCUAAUGCAGCUUGUCUCCCUUUUUCUUUUUCUUUGAGUUCUUAUUCGUCAAGGGAAAGCAAAGUUCAGUAGGUCCGUAACCCCCCUCCUGCCUUCCUUCCCUCCUCAUUAUCACAAACUGCUUCAUGCUUCAAAUUGCUUCAUCCUAUCUACCUAAAGCAACAUGUCUUUUUUUCUUCUUUUAACUCCUACUCGUCACAUGAAAGAAGAGUUCAGUAGGUCCCUAACCCUCCUCCUGCCUUCCCUCCCUCCUCAUUAUCACAAAUUACUUCUUCCUUCAAAUUACUUCAAAUUACUUCACUCAAAUAUCUAACGCAAAAUGUCUUUCCUUGUUCUUUUCAUUCCCACUCCUCACGUGAAAGUAGAGUUCAGUAGGUCCGUACCCAUUCAUAUGACUUGCUUCUCAUUAUCGUAAAUUACUUAAUCUUUUUAAAUAUUCUAAUUAUCUAGUGUAACCUGUCUUACUUUCCAUCUUUUCUCUAACUCGUCAUAGGAAAACACAAUCAAAUAAGUCUGUAACACUUUUUCCUUUCGCCCCGUUUCGUUACAAAUUUCUUCAUCCCCUCUAAACAUUCUAAAUAUCCAAUACUUGUCUAUAACUUUCCUUUUGUUUUAUUUCAUACUAGUCAGAGGAUAGCAGAAUCAAUUGGGCCUGUAACUUUUCAUCCUUCUUCCCCGCCUUUUCAUCACAAUUUCCUUCAUUGUAUUAAACAUGCUAAUUAUCUAACAUAAUUUGUUUUUCUUGUUAAAUUCUUACUCGUCACAGGCAAGCAAAAAUCCAUAGAUCUGUGACGUUCCUUCCUCCAAAUCUCUUAAUUCCUUUAUUCUUCUAAACGUCAUAAAUAUCUGAUACAACUUGUCUUUAAUUUUUGUUUUAUUUUAUUUAUUACUCUUCAUAGGAAAGCAAGAUUCAAUGAGUCUGUAACCCUUCUCCCUCCCGUCUCGUCAUAACUUUUUUUCAUUAGUUUAAACGUACUAAUAAUUCUAAAGCAAUCUGGCAUUUUCUCGUUUAAUUCUAACUCGGCAUAGGAAAGCGAGAUUAAGUAGAUCCGUAACCCUUCCUUUGACUUGCUUCUUUCCUCUUUAUCACAAAUAUCAAGUAGGUCUUCAUCCUUUUUAAACAUUGUAAUAAUCUAAUACAACUUAUAUCUAUUUUUUUUACUUUUGUUAUUUAUAUUUUUUACUCGUCAUAGGAAAGCAAAGUCAAGCAAGAUUCUCCCUUCUUUUCUGUCUCGUCACAACAAAUUUCGCAACUCAACUUUCCGCUCAGAGGCAAAUUAUAAUCCCUCAGCCGUUCGAUUGCUCUACAUCCCCGGCCAGUGCUCAAAGUUACGAUGUUUUCCUUGCCGUCGCUUGAGUUCAAAUUAGUCUGCAUAGGGAAGGUUUGGUUGCCGACCUUUGUUCCCUCCCAACCAACCCUUAGUUACGUCUCUCGUCUCUCUCUCUCUCUCUCUCUCUCUCUCUCUCUCUCUCUCUCUCUCUCUCUCUCUCUCUCUCUCUCUCUCUCUCUCUCUCUCUCUCUCUCUCUCUCUCAAGCACACACACACACACACACACACACACACACACACACACACAUUCUCUCUCUCUCUCUCUCUCUCUCUCUCUCUCUCUCUCUCUCUCUCUCUCUCUCUCUCUCUCUCUCACUCACACACACUCACACACACAAUCUCUCUCUCUCUCUCUCUCUCUCUCUCUCUCUCUCUCUCUCUCUCUCUCUCUCUCUCUCUCUCUCUCAGCUAUCACAGACUGACUAGGUCGCUCGGAUUCGCUCUAAAACUAAC